UUUGGAGGAAAGCAGGGGAUCGCAAGACCUUGCGCUUUUGGAGCGGCCGAUGUCUGAUUAGCUAGUUGGUGAGGUAAAGGCUUACCAAGGCUUCGAUCAGUAGGUGGUCUGAGAGGACGACCAGCCACACUGGGACUGAGACACGGCCCAGACUCCUACGGGAGGCAGCAGUGGGGAAUUUUGGACAAUGGGGGAAACCCUGAUCCAGCCAUGCCGCGUGAGUGAAGAAGGCCUUCGGGUUGUAAAGCUCUUUCAGCCGGAACGAAAAGGUUACGGUUAAUACCCGUGACUAAUGACGGUACCGGAAGAAGAAGCACCGGCUAACUACGUGCCAGCAGCCGCGGUAAUACGUAGGGUGCGAGCGUUAAUCGGAAUUACUGGGCGUAAAGCGUGCGCAGGCGGUUUGUAAGUCAGAUGUGAAUCCCCCGCUACAUCCCU
rnacentral:rRNA from 1 species